GACAGUUUGGCCGAGUAGUCUAAGGCCCCAGAUUUAGGCUCUGGUCCGAAAGAGUUUGGGUUAAAAUCCCACAGCUGUCA
rfam:Glycine max cultivar Williams 82 chromosome 4, whole genome shotgun sequence.